rnacentral:rRNA from 1 species
UACGAAGGGGGCUAGCGUUGCUCGGAAUUACUGGGCGUAAAGGGCGCGUAGGCGGACAGUUUAGUCAGAGGUGAAAGCCCAGGGCUCAACCCUGGAAUUGCCUUUGAUACUGACUGUCUUGAGUACGGGAGAGGUGUGUGGAACUCCGAGUGUAGAGGUGAAAUUCGUAGAUAUUCGGAAGAACACCAGUGGCGAAGGCGACACACUGGCCCGUUACUGACGCUGAGGCGCGAAAGCGUGGGGGAGCAAACAGG